GGGCAGAGGCUGUGGUUUAGUGGAAGACCCUCUGCUUGGCAUGUAGAAGAAAGUCCCAGGUUUGAUUCUGGGCAUGUCCA
rnacentral:tRNA from 1 species